AUUGAACGCUGGCGGCAUGCCUUACACAUGCAAGUCGAACGGCAGCGGGGGAGAAGCUUGCUUUUCCUGCCGGCGAGUGGCGAACGGGUGAGUAAUACAUCGGAACGUGCCCUGUAGUGGGGGAUAACUAGUCGAAAGAUUAGCUAAUACCGCAUACGACCUGAGGGUGAAAGUGGGGGACCGCAAGGCCUCAUGCUAUAGGAGCGGCCGAUGUCUGAUUAGCUAGUUGGUGGGGUAAAGGCCUACCAAGGCGACGAUCAGUAGCUGGUCUGAGAGGACGAUCAGCCACACUGGGACUGAGACACGGCCCAGACUCCUACGGGAGGCAGCAGUGGGGAAUUUUGGACAAUGGGCGAAAGCCUGAUCCAGCAAUGCCGCGUGUGUGAAGAAGGCCUUCGGGUUGUAAAGCACUUUUGUCCGGAAAGAAAUAGCUCUGGUUAAUACCUGGGGUCGAUGACGGUACUGGAAGAAUAAGGACCGGCAAACUACGUGCCAGCCGCCGCCGUAA
rnacentral:rRNA from 1 species